rnacentral:rRNA from 1 species
UACGGAGGGCGCAAGCGUUGUUCGGAAUCACUGGGCGUAAAGCGCGUGUAGGCGGCGCGGCAAGUCGGGUGUGAAAUCCCGAGGCUCAACCUCGGAACUGCACUCGAAACUGCCGGGCUCGAGUCCCGGAGAGGGUGGCGGAAUUCCCGGUGUAGGGGUGAAAUCCGUAGAUAUCGGGAGGAACACCAGUGGCGAAGGCGGCCAUCUGGACGGUGACUGACGCUGAGACGAGAAAGCGUGGGGAGCAAACAGG